rnacentral:misc_RNA from 1 species
UUAUUAUUGAAACAUGAGAAAACUUUUAGAAAAUUCACCAUUUAUCUUGGUUUUGUUUACUAAAUAGAGGACUUUAUCACGUAGAACUUUGAUGGAUUACCAGCCAACUGUAUAAUCGUUCGAUAAAGAUCAAAUAUCCAGUAAAAUACCUUUCAAGGAGGGAAAUGCAGAGAAUAAGUGCCCGAGAAGAAAAUUAAAAAAUCAAAAAAUCCAUCAGGCUGUUUCUAAGGAAGCAAAGUUGCAGAUUUUAGCUGUGAAGCUGUGUAAUAAUGUGAAUGGAAUUGCGGAAUCUGAUGGAUGGCAUAGGACUUGAGAGAAUAUAGGACCGUUAUUUGCAGCGAAAAGAGCUCAAAAUGGCUUCAGCACCAGACAAUCGGUUUGAUUCGGCCACAGUGCUUGCAAUUCUACUUGCAGCUACAGAGGAUAUCUUAACUGGUCCAUUUGAGGCUCCUGAGCCACGGGGUCCAGAAUUGCCCCCUGGGGUAACAGCAGGGGGUUACCCUGAGGAAAUGUUCCUGGGUCUUAUUGAGGAAGCUAAACACAGAAUUGAAUGUGGCAUAUGUUACAACAUUCUAAAGAACACUCGUAGAUGUAGUAACGAACACAAGUUCUGUACAACGUGUAUCUAUGCCUGGACUACUACAGGGGGCGCUGGCAAUGAUAAAUGUCCAGUAUGUCGUACUAAAGGAUUCUACGUGAAAGACCCUGAUCUCGAUGAACAAAUUGGAAAAGAGAGAGUAAAAUGUGUAAAUGAAUCUUGUAAGUGGCAGGGACUGUUAAAGGACUUUCAGUACCACAGACAUGGAUAUGACAUGCACCCUAAACAGGAGGCUGAAAUCAAUGCUUUGAAUAAAAUAGGAGUUGGUUAUUUAUUAAACAGGCAAAAUGACUCAAGGAAUACACUGGGGGAUAUACUAGUCCCAGGAUCUCAGUCUAGGGACAGAGCUGAUGGGAUAUCACCAUUUGCCUCUGACACUGUGCCAACUGCUGAGGAAUCUGAUCACGAGGAUGAUGAAACUGAUAAUGCUCUCCCUCAUAUAUUUGGAUUCCCUCAUCUCUCAUCAGGGUUUAAUCCCCGUGGUGAAGCAGAGCGAUCAAAUCGUAGAAGACGUCACCAAAGAAUGACCCAUCAGCUGCAAGAAGGUCGUGAAAGGCUGGCUAAUUUGAUGGACAUUUUCAAUCAGCAGUUGUUAGUACGUCGUGCGAAUAUCCUUGCCUUACAACAAGAGCGAGAGCAACGAAGGAGGCAACAAUUGGCUGAAGUGAGGCAUAUAGGACAGAGGUUGGAAGAUGUUUCCAGCAAUCUCAUGUCUUUGUUAACUGACAUGGAUGGUCAGUUGGAUGAUUCACGAGCUUAUAUCAAUAAUCAGAGAUCUGAGACCCAGCGAGCCAAUGAUCUGUUGAGGCAGCCACUGCGGCAGUCUUCUUUACGUCGUGAUGAAAAUUUGACGGCAGAGGAAUCUCAGAGACUCAAUGAGAUUCUAGAUGAAUCACAAGAAUCAUCUCCUAGGAAUCCAUUCAGAAUUUCAGUGGAUCAUACACCCAAUCUUAAUAGUGGAGCACGGUUUAGAGCAUCACAAGCUCAGAAUGACACAUCCCAAAAUCAGAACAGUCCCAGAGGAGGUCAUUUAGUCCCAUUAAGCAACUCACCCCGGGAACCUACAGAUAAUUCACGCAGGUCUCAUCCCAGUAGGGUCUCCAGAAGCCCUGUAGCCCCUGCUCCUUUAAGUAUGGACAAUGCACCAAGCAGCCUUAACACCCCUAAUGUUCUUAGGACAGUCAAUAGAAACACAGACAAUAGAAAUACAGACAUUAGAAGCAAUACUGAGACAUCAAGUACAAAUGCUUCAAGAUUUCAAGAGAGAAUACAAAGGUCUUCACCAGACAAUAUCAUCCAUAGGCCAUCAAGUAGAUCACGGAGGUCUAUAGACUCCAGACCCAGAAGUGCCACACCAUCCAGAUUGCCAACAUCUAAUCCAAAUAACACUACAAGCUCUCUACCAGGACCACCACCCUCUAGUACUGCCCAGAGGGUGCUGGAUACAAUGUCUUCACAGGAGCCCCAGUCACCAAGUAGGAACCCAUACAGAACUGUCGUAAACAGAGUGCCUUCUGCACGGUCACAAACUGGACAAUCUACAGAGAUUCAUUCUGGUGUCAGAAUCCCACCAAACACGGAGAGUUCUUCAAGGCCAACUAUGCACGUUGAUACAAGCCCCCGACGACGUGUUGUGCUGCCCUCUAGUGACCCAUCACAGGUGAAUGAUCAGCGAUUUGGAACAUUGUCACGGUCAUUGGACAGGGGUCAAUCAGGUGCACGACUUAAUGGAUCUCAAGACUCCUCAGGUUCUCGCAAUCAUUCCAUGUCGCCUAGGAGACGCCUACGGAGGAGUCAGACAACAAGAAACAAUCUACAGGGAAAUUAAGAAACUUUAUAAUGCUAUGUAAGAUGACCACUUGAUUUAUACAACAAGAGUCAUUGCCUUGAUAAUCUGCAUUUGGUUGUGUGAUAAAAUAGACAAUUUCCAUAGAUUCAGACAGUGCUCUGUCUAAAGUUGGGUGUUUUUCUAAAUUGGUGAGGUAUUAAAUAUUAAUCAAUAUUAGCAGAGCCUGGCUGUAUAGUAUGAGUUCUGGGAUAGAUAUAGUUUCAAAACUAUUAAUACCAUAUUUUAUAAUAUUUUUCUAUAAAUUGUACAUUAUUUACUAAUUACAACAGGGUUUGGUAUUUGAUAUUACAUUUGUUCUUAGCUUUUGUACAUAGAUUUAUAAGCAUUUGUAUUGACCAACUAUUGAUUAAUGAAUAAGUAAUUUUGCCACAGGGAAUUCAUAAAGACACAUUAUGCCAAAUGGACCAUGAUUUUGUUUAGCAUUAUCUAUUGGACCUUAUGCUCUGGUCUCAGAGGUGUUAAGUUGUGAGCAUGACUUCUCUUAAAUUGUUCAGUUUUCUGAUUUAUUUCCCUGGUCCUAGUCUAGCUACAAGCUCCUGUGACCCCC